GCUAACUACGUGCCAGCAGCCGCGGUAAUACGUAGGGCGCAAGCGUUAUCCGGAAUUAUUGGGCGUAAAGAGCUCGUAGGCGGUUUGUCGCGUCUGCCGUGAAAGUCCGGGGCUCAACUCCGGAUCUGCGGUGGGUACGGGCAGACUAGAGUGAUGUAGGGGAGACUGGAAUUCCUGGUGUAGCGGUGAAAUGCGCAGAUAUCAGGAGGAACACCGAUGGCGAAGGCAGGUCUCUGGGCAUUAACUGACGCUGAGGAGCGAAAGCAUGGGGAGCGAACAGGAUUAGAUACCCCUGUAGUC
rnacentral:rRNA from 1 species